GAAACACGACAGAGAGAAGAGAGAAGAAGAAGAUAGAUGAGAGAUUGCAGGAGGAGGAAGAAGGGACCGGCCUGAGUUCGUCGCCAUCGUCACCAGUCUGAGUUCGUCGCCAUCGUCAGGAGUCUGAUUUCGUCGCCAUCGUCACCUGUCUUUACUCAUCGUAACUUUGUUCUUCCGGAAUCUGUACUCCUCCUGAGAACGCCUCUCCCCUCUGCAGAGCCGAAUCCGAACCCAACCACCUGAGCUCAUGGUUCAAUCUCCUCCUCAACGCCCUCGCUACUCAAUCUCCUCUCGUGUUUGCUCCUCCGGUUCUCUCUCUCUCUCUCUCUCUCUCUCUCCAGAUUCACUUUCCCAAAACAACAGAUCUGAGCUCGAACCUUUUUGUUGUUUACCGAUUCUCCUCCGGUCAAUUAGAAUGAAUCUUCGGAUGCUUUGACUGAUCCAUCCGGUCAAACGGUCUCUAUCUCUAUUUCCUUGUGCAGAGAAGGAGAAAAUCGUUUCUUCUUCUUCUUCACUUAUCUGAAACAAGACAUGUUUCUUCUUCUCAAUCCUCGGGGCGAAGAUGAUUUCACCAAAACCCAUCUCCAGCAAGUGCUCAAGUUGUAUAGUAAAGAGCUACCAGACAAGAACUACCACUACAAGAAAACAUGCAUUUCCCGACUGCAAAAUCAGUAGCUAAUCAGUCGCAAAAUGUACGGUUACGACUGAUUUGCGACUGAUACAUGUAGUCACAAAUCAACGUGUCGCAAAAACUAUCAGUCGUAAAUCAGUCGCAAUUUUACGACUGAUUUGAGACUAAUUUGCGAUUAAUGUUAUUGGUCAUAAAUCCGUCGCAGUUCAGACGCCAAAUUUUACGACUGAAUUACGACUUCUUUUGCGAGAACGGAUUGUAGUCGUUAUUUGGUCGCAAUAUUUAGUGACUAAUUUACUACUACAGUUUUAGAAUCACCGUUGCUAAUUAGUCGCAAAACGAAAAAUUAAAACAAAAAAAAAAUUAAAAUUAAAAUUAAUAAAUUUAUUAAAAUUUAAAAUGAUUUAUAUAUAUUAAACUGGUUUAAAUUAAAACUGAGACAGAUACAUAAUUACAUAAAUACAAAAAGAAAAACUAAAUCAAAGACCAAAACUAUUUGGUCAAGAAAA